CGUACGAUACGAGUUUUGAUCCUGGCUCAGGAUGAACGCUAGCGGCAGGCUUAAUACAUGCAAGUCGAGGGGCAGCGCGGGUAGCAAUACCUGGCGGCGACCGGCAAACGGGUGCGGAACACGUACGCAACCUUCCCAAAACUGGGGAAUAGCCCUCCGAAAGGAGGAUUAAUACCCCGUAACAUAACGAAGUGGCAUCACUUUGUUAUUAUAGUUCCGACGGUUUUGGAUGGGCGUGCGCCUGAUUAGGUAGUUGGCGGGGUAACGGCCCACCAAGCCUGCGAUCAGUAACUGGUGUGAGAGCACGACCAGUCACACGGGCACUGAGACACGGGCCCGACUCCUACGGGAGGCAGCAGUAAGGAAUAUUGGUCAAUGGACGCAAGUCUGAACCAGCCAUGCCGCGUGAAGGAUGAAGGUCCUCUGGAUUGUAAACUUCUUUUAUAUGGGACGAAAAAAGGGCAUUCUUGCUCACUUGACGGUACCAUAGGAAUAAGCACCGGCUAACUCCGUG
rnacentral:rRNA from 1 species